rnacentral:siRNA from 1 species
CAUUCCUUUCUACCUUCUGGG